rnacentral:rRNA from 1 species
UACGUAGGUGGCAAGCGUUGUUCGGAAUUAUUGGGCGUAAAGGGCGCGUAGGCGGUUUGUUAAGUCGGCUGUGAAAGCCCGGGGCUCAACCCCGGAGGGUCAGCCGAUACUGGCAGACUAGAGUACGGAAGAGGUAGCUGGAAUUCCCGGUGUAGCGGUGAAAUGCGCAGAUAUCAGGAGGAACACCGGUGGCGAAGGCGGGUCUCUGGGCCGAUACUGACGCUGAGGAGCGAAAGCGUGGGGAGCGAACAGG